GUGAAUCAUCAAAUCUUUGAACGCAAAUUGCGCUUCCUGGCAUCCCGGGAAGUAUGCCUGUUUGAGGGUCAGUAUUAAUAAAAAAUCGGUUUAGUUACAAAUUGUGACAUUUCCGGAGUUUAUUCUAUCUUAACAUUUUUGAUUAAGAGGCUUAAAAUUGACCUUUUUUGCGCAUUUUUAAAC
rnacentral:misc_RNA from 1 species